rnacentral:rRNA from 1 species
UACGUAGGUGGCAAGCGUUGUCCGGAUUUACUGGGCGUAAAGGAUGCGUAGGCGGACAUUUAAGUCAGAUGUGAAAUACCCGAGCUUAACUUGGGUGCUGCAUUUGAAACUGGGUGUCUAGAGUGCAGGAGAGGUAAGUGGAAUUCCUAGUGGUAGCGGUGAAAUGCGUAGAGAGUUAGGAAGAACACCAGUGGCGAAGGCUGACUUACUGGACUGUAACUGACGCUGAGGCAAUGAAAGCGUGGGGAGCAAACAGG